AAGGAUCAUUAACGAAUAAACUUGAACAGGCUGUUGCUAGCUCUCCUGGGGGCAUGUGCACGCUUGUCAUCUUUGUUUCUCCAACUGUGCACGCAUUGUAGACCUGUUCCGGUUUGUGCCAUCGUGGCCAGCCAGCCAGGUCUAUGUCAUUUUUCACAAACCAAUGAAUUUGUUUAGAAUGUUGAAUCAGGUCCUUUUUGUACCUAUAAAAGUUAUAAACAACUUUCAGCAACGGAUCUCUUGGUUCUCGCAUCGAUGAAGAACGCAGCGAAAUGCGAUAAGUAAUGUGAAUUGCAGAAUUCAGUGAAUCAUCGAAUCUUUGAACGCAUCUUGCGCUCCUUGGUAUUCCGAGGAGCAUGCCUGUUUGAGUGUCAUUUCGACUUCUCAACCACAGCUGGAUUCAUUUUCUGGGUGUGGCUUGGAUGUGGGGGGUUAUAUUUUUUUGUGCAGGCUCUCUGUGGUCUGCUCCCCUGAAAAGCAUUAGUGGUAUCCAAGCAGAAAAACUACUACAGGUGUGAUAAUUUAUCUAUGCCCAUGAGUAUUCUGCAUGAAAUGGAUUGCGCUGCUUCUAAAACAAACAAUUGACAAAUUUGACCUCAAAUCAGGUAGGACUACCCGCUGAACUUA
rnacentral:rRNA from 1 species